rnacentral:snoRNA from 1 species
AGACCAUGAUGUGGGCAUUUCCUUAAUAGUCCUUGAACCUUUACCAUGUCUCGUACAAGGAUUCCCCGUCCUUCUUGAGAGUAGGUGUUAAUCUCGGUCAUGAGUUU